UGAGCGCUGCUUUUAUGAAUCUGCGCAACUUUACGCUGUGUCAGUGUGGCCCUAUUAGUCAAUAUGGCAUGUUGUUGUGUUGCGCGCGUGCAAGUUAAACGGGUCGGAAGUAUUAAUAACCAUAACAAAAUCAUAUUCUAAAGAAGUCCAUCGAUUUUAUAGACUGUCAUAAGUAAAGUUUUUAUUUUAUUGUAAUUCCCUUCACACUUCGCAAAAAUGAGUGAACGCGGUGAAUAAGAAGAUAAUGCACAAGCAAUCAUAUACACAUACAUACGUAUGUAUGCAUAUAUUUUGCGAUUCUCUCUGCACACAUAUGUUUGUGUGUGUGUGUGUUUUCGCAAUUCAUGUCUGCUUGUGCUGGCUUGUGCGUUAUCUUGCUUUGAUCACUCGAGUUGUCCACUUUUCGUCCGCGCAACGUGAUUUCGUGUAAGUUAAAUGGUAGCAGCCAAGUUAAAGUGCUUUAAUAUAUUAACAAAAUCCCAUUUUAAUGUUUGACAAAAAUGGAACCAACAAUAUUAAAGAAGUACAUCGAUUUUAUAGACUUUCUCUUAUGUUAAAGUGUCUAUAUAUUGUAAUUUCCUCCUCAAUUCGCCAAAUAUUAGUGAGAGCGGUGAAUAAGAAGAUAAUAUACACAUACGUUUGUAUGUACAUAAUUAGCGGUUCUCUCUGCAUGCAUAUGUAUGUUCGGGUGUGUGUGUUUUUUACAAUUGAUAUAUACUUAUGCUUGUGUAUGCUGGCUUGUGCGUUAUCUAGCUUUGAUCGGCGCUCACUCGCGUUUCUGUUCGCCGACUUUUGUCCACUUUUCGUCGCCGCAACGUGAUUUUGUGUAAGUUAAAUGGCAGCAGUCAAGUUAAGUUGUUUUAAAAGAAACUAUAAGUAAAAAAAGUGAUCCAUAUCUCUAAUGGUAUACGCUUUCGGACAUCUACAGGUCGGAAGUAAUAAUAGCAAUAAAAAAAUGACAUUCUAAAGUACGAGAAAAAAUGAAUCAAAAUUUGAAGAAGUCCGUCGAUUUUAUAGACUCAAGUGUUUAUUUUAUUGUAAUUUCCUUCUCAAUUCGCAAAAAAUGCGUGAACGCGGUGAAUAAGAAGAUAAUGCACAAGCAAUCAUAUACACAUACAUACGUAUGUAUGCAUAUAUUUUGCGAUUCUCUCUGCGUACAUAUGUUUGUGUGUGUGUUUUCGCAAUUCAUAUCUGCUUGUGCUGGCUUGUGCGUUAUCUUGCUUUGAUCGGCGCUUACUCGAGUUGCUGCUCGCCGAAUUUUGUCCACUUUUCGUCUCUGCAACGUGAUUUUGUGAAAGUUAAAUGGCAGCAGUCAAGUUAAGUUGUUUUAAAAGAAACUAUAAGUAAAAAAAGUGAUAUCCAUACCUCUAAUGGUAUACGUUUUCGGACAUGUACUGGUCGGAAGUAAUAAUAGCAAUAAAAAAAUGGCAUUCUAAAGUUCGACAAAAAAGCAAUCAAAACUUGAAGAAGUCCGUCGAUUUUAUAGACUUUCACAAGUGCUCAAGUGUUUAUUUUAUUGUAAUUUCCUUCUCAAUUCGCAAAAAAUGCGUGAACGCGGUGAAUAAGAAGAUAAUGCACAAGCAAUCAUAUACACAUACAUACGUAUGUAUGCAUAUAUUUUGCGAUUCUCUCUACUUACAUAUGUAUGUGUGUGUGUGUGUUUUCGCAAUUCAUGUCUGCUUGUGCUGGCUUGUGCGUUAUCUUGCUUUGAUCGGCGCCUACUCGAGUUGCUGCUCGCCGAAUUUUGUCCACUUUUCGUCUCUGCAACGUGAUUUUGUGAAAGUUAAAUGGCAGCAGUCAAGUUAAAUUGUUUUAAUAUAGUAAAAAUCAUUAAAAACAUCUCGUUUUAAAGUUUGACAAAAAUGCAACCAAAUUUUAAAGAAGUCCAUCGAUCUUACAGACUUUCACGAGUGUUAGUGUUUUUUUUUCUCACAUCGCACAAAAAAAAGGUGAGAGCGAGAUGAAAAAGAAGAUAAUGCACAAGCAAUCAUAUACACAUAUACAUGCAUAUAUUAAGCGAUUAUCUCUGCAUGCAUAUGCUUGUGUGUGUGUUUUUGUCACUCAUAUCUACUUAUGUUGGCUUGUGCGUUAUCUUGCUUUGAUCGGCACUCACUCGAGUUUGUGGAUUGCUCGCUGAGUUUGCUGGGCGCCGACUUUGGGCAGCAUUCGAGUGAAACUCAUUGCAAAUGUUAUAAGGGAAAAUUCUCGUCCAUAUUGAGAAAAUUAAAAUGGUUGCUAAAUUCUUUUUCUUUUCGGUUCUGGAAUAAAAAUUUCUUAGUGCUCUGUCGAUUUUGAAGGCUUUCACGAACUCUAAAAGCUAAAACUGCCAUGGACAAGGAAACAUUCAAUAACGUUGGUACCUGAACGGACCUUGGUUAUACCUUUUACAACCGUGUUUUUAACAUUGACCAAAGUAACAAUGGCUAUAUUGAAAUUGUUGCCAAUCUGCGUCGAUUCUCAAGUCAACAUUUGGAAUUCUAUCAAUUUUAAAGCCUAACCUGUCAACAUUCAUGGACAACCAAACAAUUUUAACAAAUUUACGCUCAUCUAUUUCAUCUACUCGGGGCCCAGUGCGACGCUGUACUUUCUGGGCGGCUUUGUGAUCGAUCGCCUGUACAGAUUGCUGGUGGGUCAGCUAAUCUUUGCCAGCAGCGCCAUUAUCUACACCUUCUGGCUUAUGGUACUCGGCCGCUUCAUCUUUGACGUUGGCGCCGGAUUGCUGGCCGUCGCCCCCAACAGAUACGCGGUCUUAAGGCGACAUAACUUCGCCGCUGACCUGCGGAUGGACAUGGACAACAUUUAGUCAGCAAGCAUUUGCUAUUCAUGGUACCUAGUUGACCUAUAUAUCCUUGAUUAUUCCAUACCAUGGAUGUAGUCCUAGCGAACCUAAAGGACCAAGUUCUUGCAAAAUGCGUAGGAACAGGGUCCAAAAAUAUGUAUGCUAUUUUUUUUACAGGUAUCCCCCGCCCCUGGAUGGUUUCUAGUUGACUACCAUAUCCUUGGUUAUACCAUACCAUCGAUAUAGUCCUUGCGAACCUAAAGGACCAGAUCCCUGCAAAAUGUGCAUUGAAAUGGUCCAAAAACAUGUAUGCUUUUUCUUUCAGGAGCCCUUUUACAUUAGCUGCAGCUGCAGCUGUUGCUUAACAGCCGGCUUACAGCCACUCAUUUUACAUAAACUGCUAUUUAACAGCACUCAUUUCAAUUGAGUUACAUUUUUGCCCCUUAAUGCUAUGCAACGAAAAUUUUUAUUCAAA